AAUCCUCAAAAGAAAAGCUUAACUGCUUUCUCUUUUGGAAUUGGAGUGUGCUGGCCUUCUGUUUAAUAAGCCCAGCUCCUCUGAAAUACAUUAGCGAUGUGACAUCCGCAUGGCACCACGCUUCUCUGGCAUUGAUAGUAUCUUCAUGCCUGAGCGUGUUGUGCAGCUGUGGAAAGCUUUGCUCGCUCAUAGCUUGAUGGGUCAGCCCAUCCUUUGACCA
rnacentral:misc_RNA from 1 species